GCGAGAGGCGGAGCUCAUGAUAUGUUGGAGCGUCUGAUUGGCCGAGCACAGAAGCUGCAGGACUCGUCAGUGGCGCUGUACUACUUCAGUGUUAAGGGGUGUGGUGAAGGAAACGGAUGCAGCACAAUCUCCUGCCACACAGGAGAGGAUCGUGGGUAAGGUGGACGGAGCCAGAUUAACUUCCUGUUUCAGAAAUUCCCUUGUGUCCUUUAUGACUGAAAAAGCCCCUUCAUGGGAUACAUGUUCAUUAAUCUCUUCAACAGAUUUCCUGUUGUGUGUGAAUCUGGUAGACACUGCAGUAGAGAACAUCACCGGGGCAGUGAGGAAACAUCAGCAGGGCCAGGCGUGUGUGAUAGUUCUGAGAGCUCUGCAGCCUAAAGAGGUGAAGCAGCUGAUGACUACAGCCCAGUGGACUGAACUCUGCCAGACAACAGCAGACCCACAGAGUCUCCAGCACACAGAGUGCAAGAACAAGGCAGUUCAUGGGAAGAUGCUGAAGGCCUGGAACUCUGUCACUUCCGGGUCAAAACGGUUCUCAGUGAGAAGGUGGAGGUGAAUCUAGACUCUCUCAGGAAUGUUCUGAGGUCCAUGAAUUCUGAGGGGAGUCUGCAGAAGAUCCUGUGACAUGAGGAGGCAAAGCAGGAUGCAGGGACAAGUCUUGUUGGUGUGGAGACAAGACACCUCACUGUGUGUUUCAUUCCUAUAGCAGGUGCUCUGAACUUCUGACCUGAUGGAUGCUGUUCAAGCUCCGAUAGCAAAAGAUGAUGAGGACAGAGCUGUGUUGUCAAUCACUUUUUAUUAAGCAAAUCGACAACAGGAGUAGCCCAGAUAGAAAUAUGUGUUUAGUAGUGGUUUGUAUAUGUGAUAUUGUAAUCUAUGGAGGAGUAGUGAUAUGUUUGUGUAACAUGAAACAAGAGUUUUUAGAGGGAAAAAUGUGAAGACAUCUGUAGGGUGUGACGAGAUAAAGAUUAGCUAUACAGUAAAAUAAAUGUACUAGAGUACAGCGGUGAUUUGGGUUUUCAGAUCUAGAAUUCUAACAUAACUCUCGUUUGUAUCUAACAAUGUCUUAUGAGUGUGUUGUGAGACGUGUCUAAAUGAAGCUUUAUUUUCUUUUCACUUAGUGUACCAAAGUAGCGUAUUAGACUAGUAGGCUAUGAGUUACAACAUCCCAAACGGAAGAAGAUAACGUGCUUAUACUGCAGUUGUCAAGACUGUUACUUUAUCAUUUACUAUCAUCCAUCCAGAGAGAGAGA